UCUGCAUCCUGAAUAUGACUCUAGAUAUGGAAUGAUGUCAAAUCUAAUAUCAUACUCAUAUUUUUCUUAAUCUUUAAUGAUGAUUCAAUUAAUAAAAUAUUAAAAAUUAUUUUUAAUUUUCAUUCUACUUUGAUCAAAGACUUUCUGAAUUAUCAAUCGAUCAGAGCAAGUAAGAUGCGAUCACCUCUUACCAGGAGUGAUUGAUUCCAUGUUGACUUACUCACAACCUCCAUACAUAUGCCACCAUAUCCAAAUCACCCCAUAUAUAAUUAAGUCAUGAAUGAGUAUGAACCAAAAUAUAGAUUCAUGUAUACAAGAUUC
rnacentral:lncRNA from 1 species